CAGAUUAAAAUAAAAACCUCCCGACACACUCUCUCAGCUCAAGAACCCUAGAAAUAGGGCGACAUCAAUUCCACCGCGUUCACCAUCUCCGUCCGAGUUCAGGCGCUUCAAGAGCUGUACAACCUCGAUUCCGCCCCUACUUUUUCAGUCCCGAUCUCUUUCCCCGUGCAUCUUGCUGCUAACUGCUCUAUUUCGAGUGCUCGAAGCUUGAGAUUAAUCAGUCGAUUGGAAGCUUAUUUCUUGGGUUGGAUGAACAAGAGGAUUUCCACCCGAAAGAAAGGAGGAAAGAAGAAGGCGUAUGUAUGUAGAUGGUGUUUAAUUGAGUUGAUGUAGAUGAGUUGUAGUUGAUUCAUUUUAGGUCUCGUAUCAGGGCUUUCUUAUGUUCGUGGCGCUGGAUUUAGAAAUGUUCUUGUAACUGGGACUGAUGCACUUUCUCUUUAUGUUGUUUGGACUGAUAGAGGCACUUGCAUCCACUUCGGGGAUGUUGCUGCCUGCUGGUGCUGCAUUGCUGCAGGAUGACAUCAAAAGUCUGGCAGAACGGUUUCUUGAAUGUGUUGUUUCUAAUCAUCAAGUUAGUAGAGACAAAAACAUAUUGCAGGCUCAUAUCUCUGUGCUGGUGUUCAGCUUCACUUCUUAAUCAGAAAGUUGAUAGGGUGGGAUCUCUCCUCCUUGCACAAAAACAUCUGAAGUUCAUGUGUAAUGAAAAAAAAGCAGACUCUGUGUAUUCUGUUGUGUGGAAGCUAAAAAAAGCAUUCGAGGAGAAUGUGAUAUCAAAUAUUUCGAAGAGUAACAUAUCGGGAGUUGGAAAGUCCUUGUUCACAUAUUCUCACUUGCAUUCACUUUGGAAUUAAUCUAAUGCUUUUUACGAUUUUUUUCUCUAGAGUUCCCAACAUCAAGUUCAAUGUAGCAAAGGUCUUACAAUCUCUUAUACCUAUUCUGGAUCAAUCUAAUGAUCAGAGCCAAGAGCCAUGAGCUUCUGGUGAUGGUACAAAAAUACUUUUUCAGUAUUUUUGUAUUAUGAAACAGAAGUGUACUCCUUCCCUUUUGAUGAGCUAGUCUAUAUAUAAUUAAUCAGGUGCCAGAUUAUUAUGAUAAUCAGGUCGAUUUUCAGCCAAUUAUCAACGAUCACCAUGCUAAUAAGGAAAGCGACAAUCACAGGGUCCAAAAAGCAAUCUGUGUAGCCGAGGAAAUUAUAAUGCACAGAGUUAGUUUCAACAAUGAAUUAUCUAUCUAGUUAUUUUGAUUGUUUUUGAAUUGUCG